CACUGGACAAAUGCUUGAACAGAGCAAACAUACAAUGUAUUAGUAUUUUUGUCUUUGAAGAUCAGCACAGAUUUGGAAGUGAUGAAUGAUUCCUUCCUAAGCAAACAGCGAAUGGAGAAAGUGAGGGAAAAGAUGUAAGGGGAGAAGACU
rnacentral:lncRNA from 1 species